rnacentral:misc_RNA from 1 species
UUUCCGUAGGUGAACCUGCGGAAGGAUCAUUAUUGUAUAACCGAGGUGCGAGGGCUGUCGCUGACCCGAAAGGUCGUGCACGCCCGAGUGCCCUCACACACAUCCAUCUCACCCCUAUAUGCACCGCCGCGUGGGUCCCCCUUUGGCUUGUUCGGAGGGGGGCUUACGUUUUCACACAAACUUUGUAUGCAGUGUAGAAUGUAUCUUUUGUUUUUGCGAUCACGCAAUCAAUACAACUUUCAACAACGGAUCUCUUGGCUCUC